rnacentral:rRNA from 1 species
UACGUAGGUGACCAGCGUUGUCCGGAUUUACUGGGCGUAAAGAGCGCGCAGGCGGUCGUUCAAGUCGAGUGUGAAAGCCCCCGGCUCAACUGGGGAGGGUCACUCGAUACUGAUCGACUCGAAGGCAGGAGAGGGUAGUGGAAUUCCCGGUGUAGUGGUGAAAUGCGUAGAUAUCGGGAGGAACACCAGUGGCGAAGGCGACUACCUGGCCUGUUCUUGACGCUGAGGCGCGAAAGCGUGGGGAGCGAACAGG